rnacentral:rRNA from 1 species
CGGCAGCACGGGUGCUUGCACCUGGUGGCGAGUGGCGAACGGGUGAGUAAUACAUCGGAACGUACCUUAUCGUGGGGGAUAACGCAGCGAAAGUUGCGCUAAUACCGCAUACGCCCUGAGGGGGAAAGCGGGGGACCGUAAGGCCUCGCGCGAUUAGAGCGGCCGAUGUCUGAUUAGCUUGUUGGUGAGGUAAAAGCUCACCAAGGCGAUGAUCAGUAGCUGGUCUGAGAGGACGAUCAGCCACACUGGGACUGAGACACGGCCCAGACUCCUACGGGAGGCAGCAGUGGGGAAUUUUGGACAAUGGGGGCAACCCUGAUCCAGCAAUGCCGCGUGAGUGAAGAAGGCCUUCGGGUUGUAAAGCUCUUUUGUCAGGGAAGAAACAGCAGCUCUAACACAGACUGCGAAUGACGGUACCUGAAGAAUAAGCACCGGCUAACUACGUGCCAGCAGCCGCGGUAAUACGUAGGGUGCGAGCGUUAAUCGGAAUUACUGGGCGUAAAGCGUG